rnacentral:rRNA from 1 species
GACGAACGCUGGCGGCGUGCUUAACACAUGCAAGUCGAGCGGAAAGGCCCUGCUUUUGUGGGGUGCUCGAGUGGCGAACGGGUGAGUAACACGUGAGUAACCUGCCCUUGACUUUGGGAUAACUUCAGGAAACUGGGGCUAAUACCGGAUAGGAGCUCCUGCUGCAUGGUGGGGGUUGGAAAGUUUCGGCGGUUGGGGAUGGACUCGCGGCUUAUCAGCUUGUUGGUGGGGUAGUGGCUUACCAAGGCUUUGACGGGUAGCCGGCCUGAGAGGGUGACCGGCCACAUUGGGACUGAGAUACGGCCCAGACUCCUACGGGAGGCAGCAGUGGGGAAUAUUGCACAGUGGGCGGAAGCCUGAUGCAGCAACGCCGCGUGCGGGAUGACGGCCUUCGGGUUGUAAACCGCUUUCGCCUGUGACGAAGCGUGGGUGACGGUAAUGGGUAAAGAAGCACCGGCUAACUACGUG